rnacentral:lncRNA from 10 species
GAGAACAGUGGGUAUUCAUAUUCAAAGACUGAUGGGCCGUCCACUGUUGGCAGUCUGUAUGCUCAGAAUUCCUGUGGUUUCUGCACAGCAACUGGACAUCAGUGCUAAAAUCCCUCUUUACUCUCUCACAUGCAAGGCACUGGCACCUCUCUAUUCCAUCUCCCUAGUUCCAGUGUUCCCUCCUUACAAGCAUUGUGUCUUUGAGGAGUUGAAAAUUCACUCUGAAAGGUGCUACCAGAAUCUUGAUGACACAUGCUCCAGCCAAAGGCACCUUUGAGAAUUGUCUCUUGGGGAAAAUUUGGAUGCAGACACAGACAAGCACACAGGGAGAAUACCAUGUAAAGAGUGGAGUUAUGCUGCCACAAGCAAAGGAACUACCAGAAGCUAAGAGAAGCCUGGAACAGAUCCUUCCCCAGAAUCUUCAGAGAAAGCAUGGACUUACUGAUGUCUUCAUUUCAGACUUCUGGCCUCCAGAACUGUGAGACAACAACUUUCUUUUCUUCUAAGCACCCAGUUUGUGUUAACUUGUUACAGCAAGAAAGUAAUAUGAUAUUUAAGUUUUAAAAAUGAAAUAAUUUUUAUUUAAUUACUUGCUGAGUAAAGUGAAAAGAUUUUAAAACAAACCUUACCUGUAAAAAUUAUUUAGUUGAGCUCAUUAUUCUAUAUAUGUAAUGAGGGCAAUAAAUAUAAUCGACUUUCUAAAAUGAGGCUAAUAUUAUUUCUUAGUCUUUGAGAAAGUCUGCAAUAGAAAAUCAGCAUUUAUUUGUUCAUUAGAUUCCCAUAGACUUAGGUAGCAAUAAAAUAUCUUUAAAUUUCAGUCUAUUCACAGUGCACCCUUCAGAUCAGUUUACUUUGAUGUCUUUAUAAUGCAAUCAUCCAAUCUAUUCUCAAUCCAUGCUUUCUUAUUCAUUCAGCAUAACAAUAUCAUAUGAUUUAUCUUUUGAAUAAGGUGAUGCUUUUCUCAAACUGUAUAUGAUUCACAAAUUGCUUUCUUCAGCAGAGAGAAAUGUGAGCUCAUUUCCUGCCAAACAAAGUAACUGCAUAAGAAGGGAAGAAACAUAUUAAGAGGGUGCAAGUUUUAUCUUUGUACAGAAAAGAAUGUGGCAUUAAAGUCAUUUUUGUUAUGAAAGCUGAAAAAGCAAAGGUCUAAUGUUCAUCUAUUCCAGGAUAAUAGGCUAGAAGUUAAACAUUUAAAGAAUGAAGACAUUCUCUUCUGUACAACCCUAGCUAGAAUAAAUUCUAGAUGAAUUUUGCAACAAAUCAUAUGAUUCUACAUAAAUCAAAAUUUUGUAGGCAUACAAUUUUGUUAAGUGAGUUUUCUUGACAGUGAACAAUUCUAUUAGUAAACAAGGCAUAUUAACUGAUUAGAUAUCCUUGCUGAUGCCUUAUUAAAUGACAAUCACUUAAGGAAAAGGUGCAUCAUCAGAUGACAUAUUUUCCUAAAUUGGGGUAACCAAAGCAAUAAUUAUAUUUGUAACAAUUAAGGAUUUUACUAAUUGGCUGUAUGCUCUUUCUGUUUGAAAGAAUGAAAAUCAGUGAAUCCUCCACAGACUUUCACUUCCAUUACAAAUUUUCUGUGCUUUGCACAAUAUACCCGUUUGAGAAUUCAGAAAAUGGCACGCUAAAAAUAAGAAAACUUGUAUAACCUCCCCAGUGCUGAGUUCCCCGAAGUUCUUCCACUAAGAAAUACUUAUUUUAAUAAAUCACCAAUAUAAAUACUAUUUAUUAUCCAAAGGAUGAGACUGUAAAAUAUAAAACUUCAAGAAAUUAAAGUCUAGUAAAAUGUCUUUUUUUUUUUGACAGAUCAUUCCCAUAAAAUGGAUUUCCAGGAAAAACUUAAUAUUACAUAUGUCUUUCAGUGGACAAAUCAUUGAAUAGAUGUAAUAGGCAAUAUUUAGCCUGUGGGCUGUACUUUGCCCACCCCUAUUCAUUCUAGAAUAUUAAGUUCUAUGGGCUUGAUAGCUGAUAUGGGUUGAGUUUUUGUCCCGGUCCAAAUUUCAUGUUGAAUUGUAAUCCCCAAUGUUAAAGGAGGGGCCUCGUAGAAGGUGAUUGAACCAUAGGGCGUAUUUCCCCUUUGCUUUUCAAAUGAUAGUGAAUGAGUUCUCAUGAGAUCUGGUUGUUUAAAAGUGUGUGGCACCUCCCCCUUCUCUCUCUUCUUCCUCCUCUAGUCAUAUAAGAUGUGAUUCCUUCCUCUUGGCCUUCUGUCAUGAUUGUAAGUUUCCUGAGGUCUCCCCCACCAUGCUUCCUGUACAGCCUGCAGAACUGUAAGCCAAUUAAACCUCUUUUCUUCAUAAAUUGUCCAGUCUCAGGUAGUUGUUUGUAGCAAUGUGAGAACGAACUAAUACAAUAGCCUAUUUAUUUGUCUCUUUGUGAAAAGAAUAGAUGUUCUUGCAUUCAAGCUUAGGUCUCUUGAGCCUAAAGUUCAUGUCGUUUUAGGAAGGACAAACAAGGAAAAUAUGAGAAGUAUAAUAUGGCAUAAUACAUAAAUCUAUAUUCAAAUCUUUAGUGUUCAAUGUCAUGCUAUUGAACCAUACAGUGUGGUUUAGUGAAUUAUAUUUAUGUCUCCUCUUAUCUUUGCUAGGUAGAUACUUGCACAAGAUCUAUUCUUUUAUCUUCUUAAUACACAUGCAUUCUCCCGACAUUAUUAAAAGUAAAAUAAUAUACUGUGCCAAGGAGAGCAAAAGAAAGGGAAAGCUGAUUUGUGAGUUUACUAUCAUCAUAUUUUAAAUUAUGUAAAAGAGAUAUUUAUUACAUGUUAGAAAAAACAGAAAAAAUGUAUAAAUUAGAAACUAUGAGUCAUCUGUAUUUUUCUGGGACUUAACACUUUUACUCAACCUUAUGUUUUUAGCAUAAUCCAAGUUGAAGACUGCAUUAUGUUCAUUUUCAUUCUUAUGUAGUAUUCCAGUUUUCUAGUAUUAUUUAUUCUUUCUCUUUUGAUAGAGACAAGGGUUGUUCCCAUUUGUGGCUAUUAUGUACAAUACUUCUAUAAACAUUUUGUACAUAGAUUCUGGUAUACCUGCGUGGACAUUACUCACAUAUGUACUUAGUAAUGAGACUUUAGGAAAUUUAUACACAUCCUUGACUCCCUUAGAUGUAUGAAGUUAUACUCCCAAAGUCAGUGAAUGGAUGAUGGAUAUCCUUAUUUUUCUUUUAUCUCUCUCUCUCUCCAAUUUAAUCAUCAUUUUAGUAACAUUUUCUAAGUUCCAGGCACAGCUCUACAUGUAGAUCUUACAAGAUUAAUUUAUCUCAAAAAUGUCACAAUGAAAUAUACAUUGUUAUAAACUCUUUGCAUACAGGAAGUAGCAAAGGGAAAUAGAAUUUCGAUUAGGAGACUGUGUUCAGCAAUACAUCAGUUCCUGCCUCUAGGCCCUGUAAGAUGGAGUCUGAAAAGAGUUCCUUGGCUUUAUAAACAAACUAUGGUAGUCUUUAUUAGAGCCUUUUCAUGAAAGCCUAAGAGAUUACCAGGGACUAAAGAGGGAAUGACAGGGAAGAAUGCGAGCUAUACAUGUGACACUUUGAAUAAGCUUGGUUUGGGGAAAGCAGAACAGAGUAUGAAGAUGGACUUGGAAAAGAAAGGGUGGAGGUCUCCCUUUUAGUUAAG